UGCAGGGACAUCCAGGCAAGUCUGAUUUGUCCCUGUGGAGCUGAGAAUCGCAGUGACCGCCUGCUCUUCGUUUCUCUUCCUGCAGAGCUGUGACCCAUUUUGCGAGGAACCUUGCACAUGUCUCAUCUUCAUUAAGCUGUUCGUGAACUCCAGCUUCCGGGAGAAAGGCCAGUUCUCCCAAGACCUUCGAGGGCUAUUGGGACUGAGAAAGGCUGGGUGGGCCGGGAGGGGCUGGUGGACGUGGGGAGCGAGGUGGCGGGCCACCCCGUUGACAGACCCCUCCAGGAGAGAAGCGCUGUUGGAGCUGGGCCUGGGUGCAAAGGGGGAGAGAGGGCCAGGUGCUCUGGGAGGGAGCCCUAAUCACAAGCUGCAGGGAGGAAGAGAGGAGGAAAGGGGACGGGCCUGGGACCCCCAGUAGGGGGCUGAGCUGGGGACAGGCACAGAGCAGAAAGGAAGCCAUCUACCCUUUAAGACGCCUCCAAAAAAAAAAAAAAAAAAACCCAGGACUCCCUCGUACCUUCCAACUUGCCUGUCAGCAUCUAUUGAGCGUCUCUCAUGCGGAGCUCAAACGAGAGAAACGCAGUCUGCGCCACAGCGGGCCGGCCAGCUGCGGGGCGCCCGCCCAUUUGGAGAGAGAACGAAGAUUGCAGCGUGCUGGAGAGGACCAUGAGGGGCUCCUGGCCGGCCCUCCCUUCCCCUGCUUCAGAGAGCACUGUGACUGGCCCUCAAGCCUCGCACGCCUGCAGCCUCUGACUCCCACAGCUGGCUGCUCUUCCUGGUGGCUCCAGUCCUUUCCUCUCUCCCAGCACCCACCCAGCCCCCGACACGCCUCCCCAGGAUCACCAACACCGCACCUCCAGCUCUGCCUCUGGCGCCCUUGGCUUCCACGCGGGGGUUCCUCCAGCACGCGCUGUGGAGGCUGUGGCUCAGGAAAGCCCCAUCCACGCUCUCGGCAACUGCACCCUGGAAAGCAGCCGGCGGCCCCAUGAGCCUCACUUCACCUGACCGGUCCACAGAAUGGGUUGAAAUGAUCCAAGGCAGGUGGCUUUUUGUCCCAAAUAUGCAACAGGCACGAAGCACGGAGUUGGGAAUCCAGGAGACUUGGAUGUCCACCCUGUUCUUGCUCCCGGCGCUGGGGAACCAUGAGCCAGCCUCCAGUUCCUCAUUUAUCAGAAGUGGUUGAUGACGUGCCUUGGAAAUUCACACCAACACUAAGUAAAAUCAAAGAGAUGGCAAGGACAAACCAUGUGCCUUCAGAAACUGCUUCCCGGACACCUGCGUGCUCAUUCUCUUACCCAUGUCUCCACUCCAGUCCUGCAGGCACCUCAGGAAGGGGCUGGGUGAGUGUUGGAUCCAGUCGCAGCUGGAGAGCAGGUGAGCCAGGACCCCACCCAGGGCCGCUGUCCUAUAUCGCAGGCAAUCAUGCAUAUGGGAGAGAGAUAAAGCCCUAAAUACUCAUUUAGAGCUAGCUGAGAAGUAAAUAUAAUUCAUGGGCCAAAGAUACAGAAAUGUCUUUCCCAGCAGGAGGCAAGCUGGUGGCACCUGCUCCCCGGGGCCUGACACCCUCAUUUCUGCCUCUCAGGUACCUGAGGCUCUCAGAGGAUUUACUCCCUCUAAAGGCCAACCCGAGACCUUCACUUAGCUCAAAAUGUAGUUCAAGGAGAGAAACUAAGAAAAGGGAAUGGGAGUAGGGGAAGGAAAAAUUAUCUUUUUCUCCCACCAAAGAACGGCUUGCAAACAUGGAGAAACGUGAAGCUGCCGGACACCAUCGUGUCGGGCAUGAAUUCAGUCCCAGGGGAAUCGGCCACCCUGAAAUGCUGAGCAAAAGCUGCCCAGAGAAAGGCAGGCCCCUCCUCAGGUCAAGGCUUUCUCGGUUCAGAAGGUGGCCUUCCAUCACAAACUGCUCGCCCGCCCACAGUGUCAGGCUGCAGUGUCUGGAACACAACCAGGAGCCCGGGGUUAAUGAGGUGCAGGCGGAGCCCAGGCCACCAGAGGGUGAAUUAAGGCCGCACUGAGCUGCGCACCUGUGUCUCAACACUUGGACUGAACUCCAGACCUGAGUGCCGGGGACACCGGGCCAAAAGCAGGGAAGGAAUGCGUGGCUGCUGCCCACGCCGUCACCUUGGCUGGCAGCCACAGCUGACCUGGAGGGUGAAGGCCUGGAUGUCAUUCCUCCAUAGGAAACUGUUCUAGCCCCGGGCUGGAGGAACGCCAAGGCCUUGGCCCACAGAAGCCCCCGUGAGGCCCAGGCCAGCCAUGGCCCAUCUUCUCAAGCCCUGUUCGAGAAGAAAGGGGAAAAGCUCUACGAGAGAGGAACUGCUAUUGAACCAAUUUCACAGAUAAGGAAACUAAAUUGCAUUGGGGUUAAGCAGCCCAGUCAGGAUUUGAACCCAGCAGUGUUGCUGUAGAAUCUGUGCUCUUACCCAGUAUCUCAAACUACCACUGAACCACUUCUAAGGCCGCCUGCCCACUCUUAAUGAAACAAUGUUAAUGCACAAGAAAUGCUCACAGUGUCCUACUGGAGGAAUAUGGAGAGCUCAUUGGAGUGCUAUGGAAUGGGACAAACUGACAACAGAGGAGAUGGAAAUCAUUGAGGGGGAACCUAAGGAGGGUUCAUGGAGGGGGAGGAAGACAAGUAGGAGAUCUGAACACUUGGAAGAUGUGGCAAAAGUGAGGCUAACUUAAUAUCCACGUUAGGAACUAUAAACAUGUAAUGUAAAUAUCACUGAUUUCUGAGUUCUUCGUAUAAGCCAGGUGCUGUAGUAAGCUUAGAAUUUAUCUCCCUCUAGCCUGGGUAAUUCCAUGAGACCCU